rnacentral:rRNA from 1 species
CAGUCGCCACGGUAAUACGGAGGAUCCAAGCGUUAUCCGGAUUUAUUGGGUUUAAAGGGUGCGUAGGUGGCUUUUUAAGUCAGGGGUGAAAGACGGUAGCUUAACUAUCGCAGUGCCUUUGAUACUGAAGAGCUUGAAUGAACUAGAGGUAGGCGGAAUGUGACAAGUAGCGGUGAAAUGCAUAGAUAUGUCACAGAACACCAAUUGCGAAGGCAGCUUACUAUGGUUUUAUUGACACUGAGGCACGAAAGCGUGGGGAUCAAACAGGAUUAGAUACCCCUGUAGUCCCUGUCUCUUAUAC